CUUAUAUGAUGGGGAAUCCAGGAGUUAAUGUUCUUCCUGGUAUACAACAGCAGGCAAGAUGACACCAUGGAUACAUACUUGCCUCCUAAAGAUGGGUCAGAAAUAAUGACUGUUGCCCAGGACAAAGUCAUCUUUGGUUUUCUUGCACCACAGGUCAUGUGCAAAGUUUAGCUGAGGUCUUGUUUUUGUAUUCUGUAGGAGUAAGGUGAGGCCCUGAACAAAGAAGGCUCACUCCUGACUUACCUUGAAAGUGGAGAUCUAAUGGGACAGCCAUGCAUUUUACUAUGGAGAAGUAACAACGAUGUCCCUAUCACGUAUUUGGGACCCCUCUUCUUUUCAUUUUUUUCUGCAAAAUAUUCUGCCCUGACAUCAAUAAGACACAAGUUUGCUAUGAUGACUCCAGAGAAAACUACCACAGGAGAAUAGUUAGAAAGACAGCCAGCAUAUAUAUCCAGGUUUUUGUUUUGUUUUGGGUUGUUGUUGUUGCUGUUUUGUUUGUACUUGAUAUUUUACUGUUGAGAUUUGACCAUCUCAUGGUUAGAUUCUCUUCCACUUCUGUUUCUCUGUUCAUCUUUUUUGUUUUUUGUUUGUUUCUUAUGUAUCACUAGCAAAACUACUUUUUCUAAAACUAAGUUGAAGGAAUUUCUUGUGAGUUUAUGACUUGUGGGGGUUCAGUUGGAAGACAUGGCCGUUUGUUUGCAACACAUCUGAGGCAGAAGCUGUCUUUCCCGUAGUCUGUGUGAGUGGUGUCUGAGUGAGUGGUAAGAGCAUUGAGAGAAUGAUCCAUAUUACUCAAGCUAACUGCUGUGACCGCCCGAAGCUUGACAUAAAUGGCUGGUGUAAUAGAGAGAUCCAUAACCCAGAUCUGAUUUCACAUCAGCCAAGAGCCACAGAGUAAUAUGGCUACUUAACAGUUUCCUAGAAUAUAUUUCUAACCCUUAACAGUUGUCACAAUGUACACUGAUAUGUAGUGUCAUACUAUGAUAAAGUAUGACAAUGCGUCCUGAUACUGUAUGUCACGUUUUUAGGUGUAGUGAU
rnacentral:lncRNA from 1 species